rnacentral:rRNA from 1 species
AGUAGGGAAUAUUGGGCAAUGGGCGGAAGCCUGACCCAGCCAUGCCGCGUGCAGGACGAAGGCCUUCUGGGUUGUAAACUGCUUUUAUCGGGGAAGAAAACGCCCAUGCGUGGGAAACUGACGGUACCCGAGGAAUAAGCACCGGCUAACUCCGUGCCAGCAGCCGCGGUAAUACGGAGGGUGCAAGCGUUGUCCGGAUUUAUUGGGUUUAAAGGGUGCGUAGGCGGCCCCUUAAGUCAGCGGUGAAAGCCCGGGGCUCAACCCCGGAACCGCCGUUGAUACUGGGGGGCUUGAGUACAGACGAGGUAGGCGGAAUUGAGGGUGUAGCGGUGAAAUGCUUAGAUACCCUCAAGAACACCGAUUGCGUAGGCAGCUUACUAGGCUGUGACUGACGCUGAGGCACGAAAGCGUGGGGAGCGAA